AAACUGAAGAGUUUGAUCCUGGCUCAGAAUGAACGCUGGCGGCGUGCUUAACACAUGCAAGUCGUACGAGAAAUCUCGGGCUUGCUCGAGAGAGUAAAGUGGCGCACGGGUGAGUAACACGUAGGUAAUCUACCUCCGGGUCAGGGAUAACCCGCCGAAAGGCGGGCUAAUACCUGGUAAUACCCUGCCUGCGAGAGCAGGCGGGAUCAAAGGUGGCCUCUGCAUGCAAGCUACUGCUUGGAGAUGAGCCUGCGGACCAUUAGCUAGUUGGUAGGGUAAUGGCCUACCAAGGCGACGAUGGUUAGCUGGUCUGAGAGGACGGCCAGCCACACUGGAACUGGAACACGGUCCAGACUCCUACGGGAGGCAGCAGUGAGGACUAUUGCGCAAUGGGGGAAACCCUGACGCAGCGACGCCGCGUGGAUGAUGAAGGCCUUCGGGUCGUAAAAUCCUGUCAGAUGGGAAGAAGUGCAUGGUGGUUAAUACCCGCCAUGUUUGACGGUACCACCAAAGGAAGCACCGGCUAACUCCGUGCCAGCAGCCGCGGUAAUACGGAGGGUGCAAGCGUUGUUCGGAUUUACUGGGCGUAAAGGGCGCGUAGGCGGUUUUAUAAGUCAGAUGUGAAAGCCCACGGCUCAACCGUGGAAGUGCAUCUGAAACUGUGAGACUUGAGUAUGGGAGAGGAAAGUGGAAUUCCCGGUGUAGAGGUGAAAUUCGUAGAUAUCGGGAGGAAUACCGGUGGCGAAGGCGACUUUCUGGACCAAUACUGACGCUGAGGCGCGAAAGCGUGGGUAGCAAACAGGAUUAGAUACCCUGGUAGUCCACAGCUGUAAACGAUGAUAACUAGGUAUAGGGGGUGUUGACCCCUUCUGUGCCGCAGCUAACGCAUUAAGUUAUCCGCCUGGGGAGUACGGUCGCAAGAUUAAAACUCAAAGGAAUUGACGGGGGGCCGCACAAGCGGUGGAGUAUGUGGUUUAAUUCGACGCAACGCGCAGAACCUUACCUGGUCUUGACAUCCCGAGAAUUUUCUAGAAAUAGUUAAGUGCCUCUUCACAGAGGAGCUCGGUGACAGGUGCUGCAUGGCUGU
rnacentral:rRNA from 1 species